GCUGAGAGAGGGUGACCGGCCACACUGGACUGAGGACACGGCCCAGACUCUACGGGAGGCAGCAGUGGGGAUAUGCACAUGGGCGAAAGCCUGAUGCAGCACGCCGCGUGAGGGAUGACGGCCUUCGGGUGUAAACCUCUUUAGUAGGGAAGAAGCGAGAGUGACGGUACUGCAGAAAAAGCACCGGCUAACUACGUGCCAGCAGCCGCGGUAAUACGUAGGGUGCAAGCGUUGUCCGGAAUUAUUGGGCGUAAAGAGCUCGUAGGCGGUUUGUCGCGUCUGCUGUGAAAUCCCGAGGCUCAACCUCGGGCUUGCAGUGGGUACGGGCAGACUAGAGUGCGGUAGGGGAGAUUGGAAUUCCUGGUGUAGCGGUGGAAUGCGCAGAUAUCAGGAGGAACACCGAUGGCGAAGGCAGAUCUCUGGGCCGUAACUGACGCUGAGGAGCGAAAGCGUGGGGAGCGAACAGGAUUAGAUACCCUGGUAGUCCACGCCGUAAACGUUGGGCGCUAGAUGUAGGGACCUUUCCACGGUUUCUGUGUCGUAGCUAACGCAUUAAGCGCCCCGCCUGGGGAGUACGGCCGCAAGGCUAAAACUCAAAGGAAUUGACGGGGGCCCGCACAAGCGGCGGAGCAUGCGGAUUAAUUCGAUGCAACGCGAAGAACCUUACCAAGGCUUGACAUACACCGGAAACGGCCAGAGAUGGUCGCCCCCUUGUGGUCGGUGUACAGGUGGUGCAUGGUUGUCGUCAGCUCGUGUCGUGAGAUGUUGGGUUAAGUCCCGCAACGAGCGCAACCCUCGUUCUAUGUUGCCAGCGCGUUAUGGCGGGGACUCAUAGGAGACUGCCGGGGUCAACUCGGAGGAAGGUGGGGAUGACGUCAAAUCAUCAUGCCCCUUAUGUCUUGGGCUUCACGCAUGCUACAAUGGCCGGUACAAAGGGCUGCGAUACCGUAAGGUGGAGCGAAUCCCAAAAAGCCGGUCUCAGUUCGGAUUGAGGUCUGCAACUCGACCUCAUGAAGUCGGAGUCGCUAGUAAUCGCAGAUCAGCAACGCUGCGGUGAAUACGUUCCCGGGCCUUGUACACACCGCCCGUCAAGUCAUGAAAGUCGGUAACACCCGAAGCCGGUGGCCUAACCCUUGUGGAAGGAGCCGUCGAAGGGAUUACC
rnacentral:rRNA from 1 species